AAGGGCAGAGCUCAGUGGUAGAGCACAUGCUUAGCAUGCAUGAGGUCCUGGGUUCAAUCCCCAGUACCUCCA
rnacentral:tRNA from 1 species